CUCCAUUCGGUAGCAAUACUGAUGAAGAGCGAGUGGCGAACGGGUGAGUAACACAUGAGCAACCUGCCCCGAAGACUGGGACAACACCGGGAAACCGGUGCUAAUACCGGAUAUCCCUAUCGGACCGCAUGAUCCGAUAAGGAAAUGUUUUUCGCUUCGGGAGGGGCUCGUGGCCUAUCAGCUAGUUGGUGAGGUAACGGCCCACCAAGGCAUCGACGGGUAGCUGGUCUGAGAGGACGAUCAGCCACACUGGGACUGAGACACGGCCCAGACUCCUACGGGAGGCAGCAGUGGGGAAUUUUGCACAAUGCCCGAAAGGGUGAUGCAGCAACGCCGCGUGAGGGAUGAAGGCCUUCGGG
rnacentral:rRNA from 1 species